rnacentral:rRNA from 1 species
UAGGGAAUUUUCGGCAAUGGGGGGAACCCUGACCGAGCAACGCCGCGUGAAGGAAGAAGGAAUUCGUUCUGUAAACUUCUGUUAUAAAGGAAGAAAGACGGAUGGAGGAAAUGACAUCCGAGUGACGGUACUUUAUGAGAAAGCCACGGCUAACUACGUGCCAGCAGCCGCGGUAAUACGUAGGUGGCAAGCGUUAUCCGGAAUUAUUGGGCGUAAAGAGGGAGCAGGCGGCAGCAAAGGUCUGUGGUGAAAGACUGAAGCUUAACUUCAGUAAGCCAUAGAAACCGGGCAGCUAGAGUGCAG